UCAGCUCAAAAUCCCCCAGGUUGUUCGAGUGUGACAUGAUCCAAAUCCACCAACCCAAGUCUGAUCAUCACGUGAGAUGAGGUGGUUUCAAUGGUGAAUAUCUCCAUGUUGAUCAUAUCUACUAUAUGACUCAUGUUCGACCUUUCGGUCUCUUGUGUUUUGAGGCCAUGUCUGUACAUCCUAGGCUCAUCAAGUUUUAACCCAAGUGUUCUGCAUGUGCCAAACUGUCUUACACCCGUUGUAUGCGAACGUAGAGCUUAUCACACCCGAUCAUCAUGUGGUGCUUCGAAACGGCGAACCUUCGCAACAGGGCACACUUGGGGAGAACAUAAAUUUUAUCUUGAAACUUUAGUGAGGGAUCAUCUUCUAAUGCUACCAUCGUCCUAUGCAAAAUAAGAUGC
rnacentral:lncRNA from 1 species